rnacentral:ncRNA from 1 species
UCCACAUCACAGGGGUGCUCCGGACUGCCGGGGCUGAGAUUGCGGAAGCACGUAUCCGCGGACCCUCAAGCUGAUCUGGGUAAUGCCAGCGGAGCGAGGAGAGCCAUGUUCAUCG